rnacentral:rRNA from 1 species
AGCGAACGCUGGCGGCAGGCCUAACACAUGCAAGUCGAACGAAGUCUUCGGACUUAGUGGCGGACGGGUGAGUAACACGUGGGAACGUACCUUUUGGUUCGGAACAACUCAGGGAAACUUGAGCUAAUACCGGAUGAGCCCUUAGGGGGAAAGAUUUAUCGCCGAAAGAGCGGCCCGCGUUAGAUUAGCUAGUUGGUGAGGUAAAGGCUCACCAAGGCUACGAUCUAUAGCUGGUCUGAGAGGAUGAUCAGCCACACUGGGACUGAGACACGGCCCAGAAUCCUACGGGAGGCAGCAGUGGGGAAUGUUGCGCAAUGGGCGAAAGCCUGACGCAGCCAUGCCGCGUGAAUGAUGAAAGUCUUAGGAUUGUAAAAUUCUUUUACCAGGGACGAUAAUGACGGUACCUGGAGAAAAAGCCCCGGCUAACUUCGUGCCAGCCGCCGCGGUAACAC